rnacentral:lncRNA from 1 species
CAAUCAAUUCAUGAUCAUUAUCUGAUAAUAAUUAAGGAUUUGGAUGAGCUUAAGAAGUUUAGUAGGUCCAAACAUAAAAAAUUAUGAAUGGAUUUGAUUCUGCAAUUCCUUACUAAUUCAUAUGAAAGUUUAUAGAAAACUACCACAUAAAUAAAAUUAAUUGCACCUUGGUUGAGUUGGUGACCACUGAUGGGACCUUAAAGAGUUCAAGGAGAAGGAUUCCUGUAUACCUGAUGAAUCCAGAGAAAAGGAUAAGGGACAUGCUUUUAGAAGGUAUGUUGGAUCUACUCGAUAUUAGUAUUUGAGC